rnacentral:rRNA from 1 species
GCGCAUUAGCUAGUCGGCGGGGUAACGGCCCACCGAGGCGACGAUGCGUAGGGGUUCUGAGAGGAAGGCCCCCCACACUGGUACUGAGACACGGACCAGACUCCUACGGGAGGCAGCAGUGAGGAAUAUUGGUCAAUGGGCGCGAGCCUGAACCAGCCAAGUCGCGUGAGGGAGGACGGCCCUACGGGUUGUAAACCUCUUUUGCCGGGGAGCAACGGGCGCCACGUGUGGCGUCACUGAGAGUACCCGGAGAAAAAGCAUCGGCUAACUCCGUGCCAGCAGCCGCGGUAAUACGGAGGAUGCGAGCGUUAUCCGGAUUUAUUGGGUUUAAAGGGUGCGUAGGCGGAUCGUUAAGUCAGUGGUCAAAUUGAGGGGCUCAACCCCUUCCCGCCAUUGAAACUGGCGAUCUUGAGUGGAAGAGAAGUAUGCGGAAUGCGUGGUGUAGCGGUGAAAUGCAUAGAUAUCACGCAGAACCCCGAUUGCGAAGGCAGCAUGCCGGCUUCCGACUGACGCUGAAGCACGAAAGCGUGGGGAUCGAACAGGAUUAGAUACCCUGGUAGUCCACGCGGUAAACGAUGAGCGCUAGGUGUCCGGGGGGAAUGGCCCCUGG